CCUACGGGAGGCAGCAGUAGGGAAUCUUUCACAAUGGGCGAAAGCCUGAUGGAGCAACGCCGCGUGCAGGAUGAAGGCCUUCGGGUUGUAAACUGCUUUUAUAAGCGAGAAAUAUGAUGGUAACUUAUGAAUAAGGAUCGGCUAACUACGUGCCAGCAGCCGCGGUCAUACGUAGGAUCCGAGCAUUAUCCGGAGUGACUGGGUGUAAAGAGUUGCGUAGGUGGCAUAAUAAGUAGCUAGUGAAAUCUGGUGGCUCAACCAUUCAGACUAUUAGCUAAACUGUUAAGCUCGAGACCGUUAGGGGUAACUGGAAUUUCUAGUGUAGGAGUGAAAUCCGUAGAUAUUAGAAGGAACACCAAUAGCGUAGGCAGGUUGCUGGGACGGUUCUGACACUAAGGCACGAAAGCGUAGGGAGCAACCGGGAUUAGAUACCCCUGUAGUC
rnacentral:rRNA from 1 species